CGCGUAGGCUGUGCUGUAAGUCAGGCGUGAAAGGCCCGGGCUCAACCUGGGAACUGCGCAUGAUACUGCGGCGCUUGAAGGCGGGAGAGGAUGGCGGAAUUCCCAGUGUAGAGGUGAAAUUCGUAGAUAUUGGGAAGAACACCGGUAGCGAAGGCGGCCAUCUGGCCCGCAAUUGACGCUGAGGCGCGAAAGCGUGGGGAGCAAACAGGAUUAGAUACCCUGGUAGUCCACGCCGUAAACGAUGAGUGCUAGACGUCGGGGAGCUUGCUCUUCGGUGUCGCCGCUAACGCAUUAAGCACUCCGCCUGGGGAGUACGGUCGCAAGAUUAAA
rnacentral:rRNA from 1 species